rnacentral:rRNA from 1 species
CCUGAUGGAGGGGGGUAACUACUGGAAACGGUAGCUAAUACCGCAUAACGUCGCAAGACCAAAGAGGGGGACCUUCGGGCCUCUUGCCAUCGGAUGUGCCCAGAUGGGAUUAGCUAGUAGGUGGGGUAACGGCUCACCUAGGCGACGAUCCCUAGCUGGUCUGAGAGGAUGACCAGCCACACUGGAACUGAGACACGGUCCAGACUCCUACGGGAGGCAGCAGUGGGGAAUAUUGCACAAUGGGCGCAAGCCUGAUGCAGCCAUGCCGCGUGUAUGAAGAAGGCCUUCGGGUUGUAAAGUACUUUCAGCGGGGAGGAAGGGAGUAAAGUUAAUACCUUUGCUCAUUGACGUUACCCGCAGAAGAAGCACCGGCUAACUCCGUGCCAGCAGCCGCGGUAAUACGGAGGGUGCAAGCGUUAAUCGGAAUUACUGGGCGUAAAGCGCACGCAGGCGGUUUGUUAAGUCAGAUGUGAA